rnacentral:misc_RNA from 1 species
AACGGUCUAUACCUGCGGUACCUGCGGAAGGAUCAUUAAAGAAUUACAAACACAACAGAAAGGUUGGAGGAGACAUGGUGGGGAGAAAGGGGGAAGUCUUUUUCUUUUUCUUUCUCUUUUUUCUCUACCGCUCUCUGGUCUUUUCUGAACAAACAAACAUACACACGACUAGGAAACACUAUCAACAACAAGUUCUUGGCUGAUAAGUAGCAUUGAUUUCAAAUGUGAAAAUGCGAAAAC